UACGGAAGGGGCUAGCGUUGUUCGGAAUUACUGGGCGUAAAGCGCGCGUAGGCGGCCUAGUAAGUUGGGGGUGAAAUCCCUGGGCUCAACUCCGGAACUGCCUUCAUGACUGCAAGGCUCGAGGAAGUGAGAGGGUGGUGGAAGUCCGAGUGUAGAGGUGAAAUUCGUAGAUAUUCGGAAGAACACCGGUGGCGAAGGCGGCGAACUGGGCCGUUUCUGACGCUGAGGUGCGAAAGCGUGGGGAGCAAACAGG
rnacentral:rRNA from 1 species